UUUGCAAAUUUAUUAAAAAAGAAAAACUGAAAUAUCACAUGGUCAUAAGUAUUCAGACCCUUUACUGUGACACUCAUUUAACUCACAUGCUGUCCAUUUCUUCUGAUCCUCCUUGAGAUGGUUCUGCUCCUUCAUUGGAGUCCAGCUGUGUUUAAUUAAACUGAUAGGACUUGAUUAGGAAAGGCACACACCUGUCUAUAUAAGACCUUACAGCUCACAGUGCAUGUCAGAGCAAAUGAGAAUCAUGAGGUCGAAGGAACUGCCCAAGGAGCUCAGAGACAGAAUUGUGGCAAGGCACAGAUCUGGCCAAGGUUACAAAAGAAUUUCUGCAGCACUCAAGGUUCCUAAGAGCACAGUGGCCUCCAUAAUCCUUAAAUGGAAGAAGUUUGGGACGACCAGAACUCUUCCUAGACCUGGCCGUCCAGCCAAACUGAGCAAUCGUGGGAGAAGAGCCUUGGUGAGAGAGGUAAAGAAGAACCCAAAGAUCACUGUGGUUGAGCUCCAGAGAUGCAGUAGGGAGAUGGGAGAAAGUUCCACAAAGUCAACUAUCACUGCAGCCCUGCACCAGUCGGGGCUUUAUGGCAGAGUGGCCCGACGGAAGCCUCUCCUCAGUGCAAGACAUAUGAAAGCCCGCAUAGAGGUUGCCAAAAAACACAUGAAGGACUCCCAGACUAUGAGAAAUAAGAUUCUCUGGUCUGAUGAGACCAAGAUUGAACUUUUUGGCGUUAAUUCUAAGCGGUAUGUGUGGAGAAAACCAGGCACUGCUCAUCACCUGCCCAAUACAA